AAUGGCACAAGUGAGGAGUGAAGACUAUCAAAAUAAUGCUGGAGAGGUACCCUGGAGCCAGACUGUUAAAGCCUUGAGAUACCAGUAGCCAUGGCAAUUUGGGAGGGAAGAAACUCAUGUGAGAAAUCGUUUUCAUAUCAUGUCUGCUCUGUUGGAGCAGCACUGCUUUCCAUUUAAAUGAUCAAGCCCACUGUUCUCUGAUGGAAGGACCUGCUGGUAUAGAGGCAACAUCUUGGAAGGCUGAGCACAACUACCUUAAAGAGUCACCUGGACCAGCCAUUGAUUUGUCACGAGUGAGUGAGAAAUGAACCUUUAUUGUAUUAGGCUGCUGAGGUUCGGUCACUUAACCACAGCAUCACCUAGCCUACCCUGCCUAAUACGACGAUACUUGUAGCUUGAGUCUAUCAUUGUUGCUUUCCUUGUUUGAGUGUCUCCCCCACUAAUACCUAAAGUCUGAAAAGGCAGGGAAUGCAUCUAUCAUGUCACUGUUACAUCCCCAGCACCCAGAACAGCCCUUGGGAUGUAAUACACAAUUUUAAAAUGUUUGUUAAGUAAAUGAAUAAAAUGUUCACCUAAAAUCAUCUCAUUUGUCUAUCAGCAAUGAAUGUAUGAUACUUUCUGAAAUAAUAGAAGGGGAAAUGAGACGUGUACUCCAAAAGCAAAAUCUGCUAUGUUUUCUGGGAGAACUGCUACAGUCCUGAGUGUUUAAAGGAGGGAAGUGUUUUUCUGCACUGCACUGGGAGUGAGCACUGGGGUGUGGG